GACGAACGCUGGCGGCGUGCUUAACACAUGCAAGUCGAACGAAGUGGCGAACGGGUGAGUAAUACGUGAGUAACCUUGCCUCCUUUUUGGGAUAAGCCUUGGAAACGGGGUCUAAUACCGGAUAAAGGGGGCUGGGCUCGCGGCCUAUCAGCUUGUUGGUGGGGUAGUGGCCUACCAAGGCGACGCCGGGUAGCCGGCCUGAGAGGGCGACCACGGACAUUGGGACUGAGGUACGGCGCAAACUCGUACGGGGGGCAGCGGUGGGGAGUAUGGCACAAUGAGGGAGCGCCUGAUGCAGGGGCGCCGCGGGCGUGAUGACGGCCUUCGGGUUAUAAACCGCUUUCAGCCAAGACGCGGUAGUGGCAGAAGAAGCACCGGCUAACUACGUGCCAGCAGCCGCGGUAAUUC
rnacentral:rRNA from 1 species